GCGGGUAUAGCUCAGCUGGUAGAGCGUCGGAUUAAUCUACCUUGAGAAUAGGAGUUUUCCGAAGGUCGUGGGUUCGAGUCC
rnacentral:tRNA from 1 species